UGCCAUUUAAGUGGAUGAUUGCAAAUAUCAUACCAUAAUGUCACAUUGCUGUUAUAACAGAUGUGCAAAUAAGGCAAAAAAAUGGGUUGGGAGUGUGCAAAUAAGAUAUAGGGGGAGUACAGGAAGGAUGAGGAAGAGGGCGAAGUACCUGCCCAUCACGUCCACACAAGAAUCCGUCAAAGUAGCCAAUUGAUCUAACAAAACCUAGAAGAGUACAGCUAUUGUUUUCACAACAGAACGAAGUAUUCUCUCCACAUGUUUUCUGGUACCUUAUAACACUGAUGCUGCAUGAACAUUUAGAACCAAUUUAAAGGGAUCCUUUCGAUUGUUUGACAGGUCAAAGGAAUAGGUAGUUAGUGAAAGGGGAUAAGCCUCUUCGGAGUGAAUUGAUAUUGCAUUUAAGUUUAAUGAGCGGACUAUUUUUUGUAGGAAGAAAAGAGCGACAUACACACUAAUGUUUACAGUAGAAUUUAUUCACCGUUUAGCCACAUCAAGAUUCAAAUUUGUUAAACAAAGACUAACAGUCCUAGAAAAUAAGUUGUUAGGCGAGAGCUUCUAUAAAAAGAGAAAAUGAAGUUUGGAGAUAUUAACCUUUAACUGAACAACGCGACGAACAACAGUACUGCAAUUUCACUGUUAUACUUGAUAUGCUUCUAUCAUUAACCAUCAGUACUGUAAGGAAAUCUUGCUUUCCUCUCACAUUAAGCAUAAUUUAAUUUAGAAUUUAGAUGCAUUUACCAAUCUAUGGUUUCUAUAUCUGGACCUGAACAAAAGCAUAUCAGAUUGAGUUCUCUUUCUAUUGUUUAUCUGUCCAAUGUAUAGAUGAUCAGAUUGUAUAAAUCUUCUUCGGGGAAAAGGAAGAACAUAUUACUUCUAACAACUGGCAUUUUGAGUGGAGCCAAGCAAUGUCGUUGGGGCCAAGAGAAAAUCGGUAUUUCACAAAUUCUAACACUCAAGUAGCAACUUGCAUCCUGAUGAAAUAUAAAUACGCUAAGCAAAUAAGAUAAGAGACAACCUCAACCACAUGGGCUAGAGCUUCUUGUUUUUUAAUCUAGAAACACAUGAGUCAGAACUUGAGCUUUUUCCUUAUUUUUCUGGUGGAUACCUGAGGAUAUUGGAGCCCUUGAUGGGCUGGUGAUGGCAAGAUCGAGGUAGCGAUUGAGGAUCUGGCAGCAACAAAAACCAAGGAGCGAUUCUCCAUCACCAGCGUUUGCAGCAGCAGCGGUGACCACGGGGAUGGCAAGCGCCGUAGCUGAUGCUCCUAACCGGCGAAGC
rnacentral:lncRNA from 1 species